UGGUUGCUGCGUCCGGCGCAUAGUCCAAAAAUUCGGCAGCCCCAUGCAUGCGUAAUAUGCAUCAUGUAUGGGAGGGAAGAAGAAGAAAAUAGCGAAAAGUUGAAAUCCGAACCCUUGCACUGGUAUCACAUCCCACGAAAAGUCCCGACGACAACUUCCGCCCGUACAGCGCCGAGGGGGGACACGCAAACGCAGCCUCUAGCUGACUUGGAUGACAACUUCCGCCCGUACAGCACCGGGGGACACACACAACCGCAGCCUCGAUGACUUGGACGUCAACUUCCGCCCGUACAAGGGUGAGGGGAGGACACACACAACCGCAGCCUCUAGCUGACUUGGACGUCAAAAGAUUCUACGAAAGUCACGACUUCCAGUUUCCGUGGCUGCCGCGGCCGAAGCGCGUCCGGGAAAGAAAGGAGGCGGCGGUGGCGGCGGUGACAGGCCUUGAAGCUGUAAACAACAGGAACAGGCUGUUCUGAAAACAUCCCCGAGGACACCUAAAUGAUGGACGCUUUUGACCUCCCUCCCUCCUUAUCGACACCUGGAGUCGAACUUUUGCUUGCAUGCAGAACGGCCCCAGGCCUAUGAACACUACAUCAACACACCCAAGACAAUGGGCAUAUACACACACACACCCUCCCCACCCCACCGCUUGAAUACCCUCGGGGUGAUGGACGGCUGGCAGCGCUUCAUAGCACCAGUCGACCUCCGGGGCCCCAACACCCCGCCCUCUUUUGCAAAUUUUUGUGAUAAUGUGUAACAUGUUCAUGUGUGCAUGGCAUUGAGGUUUCUUUCCCACUCCAGACUAGGCCCCCUGAGGAGCCCAGUCUAGAUUGUAUUUUUUUACUAAUCUUCUUCCACAGCGUUUUACCUUUUUUUCAUCUUUGGCGACCCAUCAGCGUUUCUGUUCUGUAACCCUGUACACUGUUUGUUUGUCAAAUCUUGAAUGGGUUUGUCCUGAAAACAUAGUUUUGUUGUACGUGUGCAAUGAUAAUAAAGUCCUAUCCUAUCCUC